rnacentral:rRNA from 1 species
GGUGCAGCAGUCGGGAAUAUUGCACAAUGGGCGAAAGCCUGAUGCAGCAACGCCGCGUGAGCGAUGAAGGCCUUCGGGUCGUAAAGCUCUUUUCUGGGAGAUGAGAAAGGACAGUAUCCCAGGAAUAAGUCUCGGCUAACUACGUGCCAGCAGCCGCGGUAACACGUAGGAGGCGAGCGUUAUCCGGAUUCACUGGGCGUAAAGCGCGUGCAGGCGGUUCGGUAAGUUGGGCGUGAAAUCCCCCGGCUCAACUGGGAGAGGUCGUUCAAUACUACCGAACUUGAGAGCGAUAGAGGAAAAUGGAAUUCCCGGUGUAGUGGUGAAAUGCGUAGAUAUCGGGAGGAACACCAGUGGCGAAAGCGAUUUUCUGGAUCGUUUCUGACGCUCAGACGCGAAAGCUAGGGUAGCAAACGGGAUUAGAUACCCGGGUAGUCCG